AGCAGCCGCGGUAAUUCCAGCUCCAAUAGCGUAUAUUAAAGUUGUUGCAGUUAAAAAGCUCGUAGUUGAAUUUCGGGAUCAGUUGGUCGGUCGUGCCUCGGUACGUACUGGUCAAAUUGAUUCCUACCUUCUGACGAACCACGAUGUCAUUAAUUUGGUGUCGCGGGAAAUCAGGACUGUUACUUUGAAAAAUUAGAGUGUUUAAAGCAGGCUCGCGCUUGAAUACAUUAGCAUGGAAUAAUGAAAUAGGACGUUUGAUUCUAUUUUGUUGGUUUCUAGGAUCGACGUAAUGAUUAAUAGGGAUAGUUGGGGGGCAUUAGUAUUCAAUUGUCAGAGGUGAAAUUCUUGGAUUUAUUGAAGACUAACUACUGCGAAAGCAUUUGCCAAGGAUGUUUUCAUUAAUCAAGAACGAAAGUUAGGGGAUCGAAGACGAUCAGAUACCGUCGUAGUCUUAACCAUAAACUAUGCCGACUAGGGAUCGGAUGAUGUUAAUUUUUUAAUGACUCAUUCGGCGCCUUAC
rnacentral:misc_RNA from 1 species